rnacentral:lncRNA from 1 species
GGGGUCUGAAUACUUUCCGUACCCACUGUAUGUGCAAAUAUAUACUUUUUCUAUUAAACACAUUUUUUGUUACGUUUUAUAUUCAUUUUCCACACUUGAAUGUUUUCAUCUAGAUUUGCCUAAUCUAGGUGUAAUGUAUUAGCCUAACUCUAUGUUUAACUAGUAACACUACUUCUUAGGGUCCCCCAGUCAUGCCUACUUCAAGAUAGGAAACAGAGUCAGUGUGAAAUCUUCAGUGAAAGAUCCAAAACAUGGAUGGGGAUCAGUCACUCACAACAGCAUCGGUGUCAUUAAAAGAAUUCAGGACGAGUCUUUGACUGUGGAUUUUCCUGAGCAGACAGAUUGGACUGGUGUCGCUUUAGAAAUGGAACUCAUAAACGGAGAUGUUUCAGAAGUGCUCAGUUUAAGGCCUGGAGCGAGGGUCCGUGUUAAACCCACCAUCAGAACUCCAGCACAUGGCUGGGGAAGUGUCACCAAGCACAGCACUGGAGUGGUCGUAGCUAUAGAUGGAACCAAAGUGACUGUGAACUUUCCUGAACAGUUUAGUUGGACUGGCAUUGUCUCAGAGAUGGAAGCUGUACCUUAAUGAUGAUACACAGCAUCAAGGAGCUGUUCACGACAUGUACACUGCACACGGGUUUAGAAUAUACAGUAUAUAUGUUUAGGGGUAAUGCGUUUGCUCUUAACACCAGGGUUUAAUGCACAGAUUAAAAAUGCCCAUUGAGACCCACUAUGACCUGACCCUUACAGUCUCAAAGAACCUAUUUUAACUGUGAAACAUAGUUAUUAUAUAAACAUAAACAAGAUUGCAUGAAAAAGGUAUAUUGACACUAGCAUAAUAUAUGCUAAUACAGCCCAUCCCUUGAGUGCGUUUCUUAUUUUCUUUAUAUGAUGUUAAGACUCUGCUACUCUCGCUCUCUGUCUUAGUCUGAUUAUUUAACACUAGAACUACCGGAAUUCUAUAACUACUAGAAUGGCCAUAGCUGUCAUUCUGACUGUUAUACUAGACUAAUCUGAAUGCCAUUUUUGUCAUAUCAUAUUUACAUUCGGAGCUUCUUUUGAGGUUUUACAAUGAAGUUUUGAAUGUUUUUGUCGUCAUAGUUUAUGACAUAAUCACCCU